AGGCCAGUAGCUUAAUUGGCAGAGCGUCGGUCUCCAAAACCGAAGGUUGGGGGUUCGAUUCCCUCCUGGCCUG
rnacentral:tRNA from 1 species